AAUGUUUUAGGUUAAAAAAACCAGUAGCCUUCAAAGUUUCAAUUGGACAACAUGUCCAAACAUUA
rnacentral:tRNA from 1 species